GACGAACGCUGGCGGCGUGCUUAACACAUGCAAGUCGAACGGAAAGGCCCUGCUUUUGUGGGGUGCUCGAGUGGCGAACGGGUGAGUAACACGUGAGUAACCUGCCCUUGACUUUGGGAUAACUUCAGGAAACUGGGGCUAAUACCGGAUAGGAGCUCCUGCUGCAUGGUGGGGGUUGGAACGUUUCGGCGGUUGGGGAUGGACUCGCGGCUUAUCAGCUUGUUGGUGGGGUAGUGGCUUACCAAGGCUUUGACGGGUAGCCGGCCUGAGAGGGUGACCGGCCACAUUGGGACUGAGAUACGGCCCAGACUCCUACGGGGGGCAGCAGGGGGGAAUAUUGCACAGUGGGCGGAAGCCUGAUGCAGCAACGCCGCGUGCGGGAUGACGGCCUUCUGGUUGUAAACCGCUUUCGCCUGUGACGAAGCGUGAGUGACGGUAAUGGGUAAAGAAGCACCGGCUAACUACGUG
rnacentral:rRNA from 1 species